rnacentral:rRNA from 1 species
GGCGGACGGGUGGUAUUGCAUAGGAAUCUGCCCGGUAGUGGGGGAUAACCUGGGGAAACCCAGGCUAAUACCGCAUACGUCCUACGGGAGAAAGAGGCCACCGGCUCUCGCUAUCGGAUGAGCCUAUGUCGGAUUAGCUGGUUGGUGAGGUAACCGCUCACCAAGAGCGACGAUCCGUAGCUGGUCUGAGAGGAUGAUCAGCAACACUGGGACUGAGACACGGCCCAGACUCCUACGGGAGCCAGCAGUGGGGAAUUUGGACAAUGGGCGCAAGCCUGAUCCAGCCAUGCCGCGUGUGUGAAGAAGGCCCUCGGGUUGUAAAGCCACUUUCAGCGAGGAAGAAAGCCUCACGGUUAAUACCCGUCAGGAAGGACAUCACUCGCAGAAGAAGCACCGGCUAACUCCGUGCCAGCAGCCGCGGUAAUACGGAGGGUGCGAGCGUUAAUCGGAAUUACUCGGCGUAAAGCGCGCGUAGGUGGCUUGGCACGCCGGUUGUGAAAGCCCCGGGCUCAACCUGGGAACGGCAUCCGGAACGGCCAGGCUAGAUGCAGGAGAGGUAGGUAGAAUUCCCGGUGUAGCGGUGAAAUGCGUACAGAUCGCGGAGGAAUACCAGUGGCGAAGGCGGCCUU